UGAGAGUCCUAAGUGAGCAAAGUAGGUAGUUCCACGCUACUCAAUUGUUCGGACCCUCCAGGGCACGCUACUUUUUCUACAAGCCCACUACGUGGUUAGGCCAACUUAACUAUGUGGGAUCUCGUCCUAACCUCUCCCACAUCAUUUUGAAUGAAUCUCCAGCAGAAUCGGUACUUCAGCUCCAUUAUGUUGCAGGCUUGGCCCAACCGGCGAACAUUCAGAAGUGUCCAUUGUCGAUAGUAUUUAUUCUCAGUUACGAAGGACGUGUCUACGAGAGGCUAUAUUCGAUUUUACAGUUUUAUAGGGAUUUUCUUACUGGAUGAGGAUCAAAGGGAUAUACAUGGGUACCAGCCACUAGGACUAUUGUUGAGUUCUAAAGGGUCUAUAGUACCUGGUUCUACCUGUUCCUACACAUCCUUGGAAUUAUAUUACUUCGGAGUACCUUUAUUACUCUAAUGAUAAAUUGUUAGGAACCUUCUGGAGCUACAUCCCUGGCGCCUAGCUAGAAUACAGAUAUCAAUCAUUCAAUCGUUAUCAAUGACAGGUCGGAGUCUACUAGAAGUUAAAAACUAGACGGUCAGCAUGAUCCUGGUUGGACUAUAUAAUCUGUUUAGUACUAGACUCUAGGAGAAAUCGUUUGAGGAUGGCAGAUAGAAGAACUUGUUUUCACCAAGAAUAUCGUAAUCUACAAUAACAUGCAAGUAUUGCCGAAUUGAAUGUAUAAACGAUUCGAAGAACGAAGACGAUGGAUAAUGACGUCGUAGCAGUCUAAACAGUGACUCCAGUGUAUACGCAUCUGUACGUAUAGGUCGCGAGACUCUUCGAGGCCAUCCGGCGCAUUCAACGUCUUCCGGGAUAAUUGUCGGGCGCAAUGCAAUAAUUGCGUAAUUCCCAGUGCCCUGCGAGGGGUGCCGUUUCUCUCUAUGAGUGGUAGACGUCGUGCGAAGGGGGUAGUUAGCCAAGUGGGCUGCGCUACUUAUUUUCCAGACACUGAGGCCUGAUUCGACUUCAAGAGAAUGAAGUAAAGUUCAGGGCCGGAGAGGGUCAGGGGUUAAUUCGUUAAGGACGAUACAUCUUUGCAAAAUGCUUGUGCUGGAUUACCGGCAAGGUGUAUUUUCGUCACGGAGAGUUUCGCUUGAGCUGCCAAGGUGGGACAAGAAAUUGAGAAGAGGAGUAUAACAAUGAAUGGCAUUACGUAAGGAUCAAUGGAUCUAAGCUACAUUGGCCUUGACAGUGACUGAGAAGAAUAAAAACAAGGAAUACAGUCAAUGCUCUGGAAAUUCUUGAUUCGGCUUGUUCUCUUUUAUUAUACAUUCACAGAGUAUGCAUCAAGGCUUGUUCAGAGAUCCAAGUCGAAUUUUUGAAAAAUCACAGUAAAACGACCCCAUACGCGGAUUUGUACCCUCCUUUGGAUGAUCAUUGGGUGUAACGCAAGGCAAUGGGGAUCCGCAGGCAAUCCGGACAACAGAACUCGAUACUAAUUGAUUUUACGAGGAAAGUAUAUUAACCGUGAAGAUCGAGCUAUGGUGGUGGGUGCGGAUGACACUCUGCUGAGCGAUGCAUGACGCCCCUAUGCAGGGCCGUACGAUGAAGUCUUUGCAGCCAGGUUACAGUUAUCAAUACCAUGUAAUUUAUAAGUUCUUAAAAAGAUUUACUAAUAAUUUUUCAAAACUCAACUACCUAGGUAUCUGUGGAGUAAUCGAAAAAAGAGCUUCGGUAAUUUCAAGCACGACCUCAAGAAUCUAGGUUAAUAGACUUGGAAUAAUCCGCAAUUAAUAAGACCCUAGAAUGAAGCCGACCCUGUGUAUCCCUCGCUGGCAAAACCUGCAUUGAAUUAUUAUAACCAUCUGCCCACUACCUACUACUCCAGUACGUCCCUUAAGACCUACGCUAACAGAUCAAAGUCCUGUAGCAAAGAGGAAUAGUAAAAGUCAAAUCCCUGGUGGUUUUUCAAAAUGCACAUAACGAUAACAACGAUGGGGUCUUUUGAAACUUUUUUUUUAACACUAAUAAGACGAGUGUUAAAUUCAUUACGUAGUUGUAUAAACAACGGAGUAUCUAUACAGUCGAAGAGAAAAUUGAAAUCCUGGAGAGAAUUUUAUGCCACAAGGUAUCCCUAGACGAUAAUGUACCUGGGCCACAGGCGAUCCUCGUUAGGCAAACUGUUUCGUAUGGAUCAAUGAUCCUCAUUAGGUAAUCAUCUUUUAAUUAACUCGAAGAGGAACGCAGCCAGAUAACCAUGUCCGUCGAUCCGUUAAUGAUUACUCGUUUUACCGGUCGAAGUCUGUGCUUCUUAGUUGCCGUAUGGUUGGCCCAUAUAAUUCGACCGAUAUCUUUAUACAAUGUAGUGAAGGAGUCUUUCCCACGUCUAUGAACUGUCCUGUGCUCUCUUAUCAAUAGGUAUUUCCACACCGGUUUUCAUCCCACUUACACCUGUUACGAAUAGAUAGUCCCUGAUCGUUAUAGGAUUGAUUCAUGAUCUUUACGAUCAUCUCACUGUCGUUAAUGACACUUCCCACGUAGCAUUGAUGACACUUGGUUCUGUAUGAUAUAAUUAUCAAGUCCCAAUUCAUGGUUGGAUGUUGGAUAAGUCCCAAUAUUCUGACCCAGUUUCUUUGUCAUACAGGUCAUACGUACCAUAUGCGUAUUAAAGAUCUCUUUGAUCGUUAUUCCUCUUAAAAUCUGUCUUAUAGGCUUCUUCUUUGGUACUAUUCUCGUAUCUGGCACUUUAUUAUUAUUUCUUAUCGUAGAAAAGGAGUAUUCACAUAGGUCUGAUCGUCGCUCUUGUACUGUAUUGCCUCUGAUCAUUGAUCCAUAGUUCGAUACUGAUAUCUAUAUUUCAUAGAAGAGCUUCCCAUGUCCUGAACCUUGUUCACUCGUAAAGCUUUCUACACACUGAGCGAUAAUUAAUUCAAGAAAAAGUUUCAUAGGGUCAGUGUAAGUAUAGUUAGACUUUGUUUUUACUUUCAAUAGCUUCCUAAGCAAUUGGGUGUUAUGGAUUUCUAUAUCAUAAACACUAAAUUCUAAUUAUAAGGAUUGAGAAGCUGUGUACAUACAUUUUAUUAGCAUGUGCAAUUAUUAAAUUAUGGUAUUAAAUUUCUAUAUGAUAUUAACAACUAUAAUAGCUGCUUGUAACUAUUCGUUAUCGUAGUCUUAUGAAAUGUCUACAGAUCUGACUUGUCUAGAUAAAUGUCUGUGUUCAUUAAGAUACUAGGAAAAAUGUAAAAAAAGGUUCAGUGUGAAUGAAUCCACUAAUUUACCAAGUAUUCUUAAGUUAUUAGGUAUGUGAUAUUUCUUUUUGAUUCCGUAACGGUCCUUUUUCUCUUUCACUUCCUCGUGUUAGACAAAAGAGCAUAGAGUCCCAGCCGAUUUUCUACCUGAAUGAAAAAAGAGAGAAAAAGGAGAAGAAAUGUGGGACUUACCUGCUAACCUCGGAAAUGCCGUGAUGUGUCUUUGUACAAUCGUAUGGUAUACCGCAUGCUUGACUGAACAUUGUUUAACUGCGUUCAUUUUUCACUAGAUUGUGUUAUAGUUGAUAGUAAUGUAUAAGCGGUGAUCAUGAUUAAUCUCUGGAAUAUAACACUCCAAGACAGUACUUUUAAGCAAAAAAAUCUGUUCUGCAGUUUUGUGGCCUCACGUUGUGUAGGAACCUUAAUCCGCGAUUUACGUCGAUGCACUUGCACGUGGCAGUCCUACAAAGCCCAGACCUGUCACCGUUAACGCGAAUAGUUUGAAAAUGUGUUAAAUCAGCAAUACCCAAUGGAUUCUAUAUGGUACAUACAACUAUAGAUACAAUAAGCACAUAUCUAUAGUCAAUUGAACACGUUGGACAUGAAGUGUUAUAAAUACAAAGAUAGAAAUAGCAUAUUCAGGUAUCCAAAUAGAGAGUGUAGAAAAAAAUAGACUUGAAGAAAAAUCAACGACCCUAGCCACAAAGUUUGCAGUAUUACCUGGAACAGGAAAAAAAUUCUCAUGAGUUUGUAACAGACCUGUUAAUCAUCCCAGUUAGUUUCUGCGUGAAUUGACUUGAUAUUUUACCGGGAAAAUAUAUAUCUUUUUUACUCCUCCCUUUUUUUCCCUUUUUUUCUGGUACAGUAAGGGAGGUGAGAAGCGUGGUCCUUCGUUCAGAAUGAAAAUGAAGAUUCUGGAAAGGAUGACAAUAGACCUGACGUUUUCCAGCAAGCUUCAAGGUAAUUGAUAUAUACAAAUCGUCCUGGCAGGGUGGUUAAGGGUAGCAUGGGAUGUCAGACGGUAGUCAGGGGAUGGCCGAAGAACGGUUGUUUGACGGCACCCCGACUGGCCGAGGCAAGUCUGUGGUAUCGCGUUCACACUUGACUGCCCCAGAUUUCGGAUGCUCCCUGCUUCGACGUUGUUUCUUCGGAAAGAAGCAAAAACCACCCUCUUUCGACCUUCCAGUUCUCAUGGAAGCAGUAGCUUAUGCCACCCUGACUAAAGGCACAGGGACGAACCUACUUACCCAGCUAUUAUGUACCACCUGUUUCGCAAGUAACAAUGUCCCUACUUCAGUCUUCGCCGAGGGUUUCCGUCUAC